rnacentral:rRNA from 1 species
CCUACGGGUGGCAGCAGUGAGGAAUAUUGGUCAAUGGACGCAAGUCUGAACCAGCCAUGCCGCGUGCAGGAAGACGGCUCUAUGAGUUGUAAACUGCUUUUGUACGAGGGUAAACGCAGAUACGUGUAUCUGUCUGAAAGUAUCGUACGAAUAAGGAUCGGCUAACUCCGUGCCAGCAGCCGCGGUAAUACGGAGGAUUCAAGCGUUAUCCGGAUUUAUUGGGUUUAAAGGGUGCGUAGGCGGUCGGAUAAGUUAGAGGUGAAAUCCCGGGGCUCAACUUCGGAAUUGCCUCUGAUACGGUACGUCUAAGGAGUAGUGGCGGUAGGCGGAAUGGAGGUGGUAGCGGUGAAAGGCUUAGAGAUCAUACAGAACACCAAUUGCGAAGGCAGCUUACCAAGCUACUUCUGACGUGGAGGCACGAAGGCGUGGGGAGCAAACAGGAUUAGAAACCGUGUAGUC